rnacentral:rRNA from 1 species
GACGAACGCUGGCGGCGUGCUUAACACAUGCAAGUCGAACGGAAAGGCCCUGCUUUUGUGGGGUGCUCGAGUGGCGAACGGGUGAGUAACACGUGAGUAACCUGCCCUUGACUUUGGGAUAACUUCAGGAAACUGGGGCUAAUACCGGAUAGGAGCUCCUGCUGCAUGGUGGGGGUUGGAAAGUUUCGGCGGUUGGGGAUGGAUUCGCGGCUUAUCAGCUUGUUGGUGGGGUAGUGGCUUACCAAGGCUUUGACGGGUAGCCGGCCUGGGAGGGUGACCGGCCACAUGGGGACUGAGAUACGGCCCAGACUCCUACGGGAGGCAGCAGUGGGGAAUAUUGCACAAUGGGCGGAAGCCUGAUGCAGCAACGCCGCGUGCGGGAUGACGGCCUUCGGGUUGUAAACCGCUUUCGCCUGUGACGAAGCGUGAGUGACGGUAAUGGGUAAAGAAGCACCGGCUAACUACGUG